AGUAACGCGUGGGCAACCUGCCCCAUAGAGGGGACGAACAGCUGGAAACGGCUGCUAAUACCGCAUAACAAGGAGAGAGCGCAUGUUCUUUUCUUUCAAAGAUUUAUCGCUAUGGGAUGGACCCGCGUCUGAUUAGCUGGUUGGUGAGGUAACGGCUCACCAAGGCGACGAUCAGUAGCCGGCUUGAGAGAGUGGACGGCCACAUUGGGACUGAGACACGGCCCAAACUCCUACGGAAGGCAGCAG
rnacentral:rRNA from 1 species